rnacentral:rRNA from 1 species
UACAGAGGGCUCAAGCGUUGUUCGGAUUCAUUGGGCGUAAAGGGUGCGUAGGCGGCGCGGUAAGUCGGGUGUGAAAUCUCGGAGCUUAACUUCGAAACUGCAUUCGAUACUGCCGUGCUUGAGGACUGGAGAGGAGACUGGAAUUUACGGUGUAGCGGUGAAAUGCGUAGAUAUCGUAAGGAAGACCAGUGGCGAAGGCGGGUCUCUGGACAGUUCCUGACGCUGAGGCACGAAGGCCAGGGGAGCAAACGGG